GGGGCAACCCUGUGAGUACAGUGGCGUACGGGUGAGUAACACGUGACUACCUACCCUCGAGUGGGGGAUAACCCCGGGAAACCGGGGCUAAUACCGCAUAACAUCGCAAGAUCAAAGGAGCAAUUCGCUUGAGGAGGGGGUCGCGGCUGAUUAGCUAGUUGGUGAGGUAACGGCCCACCAAGGCGAUGAUCGGUAGCCGGCCUGAGAGGGCGCACGGCCACACUGGAACUGAAACACGGUCCAGACUCCUACGGGAGGCAGCAGUGGGGAAUUUUGCGCAAUGGGGGAAACCCUGACGCAGCAACGCCGCGUGGAGGAUGAAGUCCCUUGGGACGUAAACUCCUUUCGACCCGGACGAUAAUGACGGUACGGGUGGAAGAAGCACCGGCUAACUUCGUGCCAGCAGCCGCGGUAAUACGAGGGGUGCGAGCGUUGUUCGGAAUUAUUGGGCGUAAAGGGCGCGUAUGCGGUGCGGUAAGUCACCUGUGAAAUCUC
rnacentral:rRNA from 1 species